CAAGUGUGCAUGCAGUAAUGAAUACAAACAUGCAUUAUCUAUCUAAGCAUGUACACAUACAGAUCUUAUGGAUCCAGCUAUAAUGUACGUGAUUGCGUUCAUAAUGUUAUUCUUUAUGUUGCUUGGGCGUUUGUGUAGGCGUAUGUGUGUAAUGAGCAGAAUGUACAUGGAGCGCAGUGGGAAAAAAGCAAGUUGGCCGUUCUCAGUGUUGCAGACUGCCAGUCCCCUAUUCUUCAGUUCAGGAAACCUGUGAUCCAGCAGAGAGCAGUUGGCAGACACAACAGAACAGCCUGCACUGAGACACAGGGAGUGAGGGAGGGAGUGCGGGGAGAACAAGGCUGGAGGAUCCCAUAAACUCAAAGAAUUACAGGAGAAGAUGAAAGCAAUGAGCUAUUGGAGCAAAUAAAAAUGCACAUUGUUAAAAAUGAACUUUAAUGACUUCUGGUAACAAUAGGGUUCAGCAGCCUCGUUCUUAUCAAGGAACAUUUUUCACUGUAUAAUGUUGAGGUGGACUGUAGAUCAUUGUUUUCACGAUUUCUGAAUGUUAGUUAUUAAAACAGCGUAUUGGUUUAUGUGUUUUAAAUUAGAUUACCAGUGCAUAGACUGGUGCACAUGCCUACCUGAGGUUUGCUCUGAGCUCCAGACCAGCAGGGGGCCCUGAUGGGUUACAGCAACAGACCUGGAAUUUUUACAGCCGCGGUGUGUUUGACAAGUGUUCAGUAUAACGUCAAACUUCACGGUAGGAGCCGGGCUCUACCGAGCACGCCCAAUAGUGUCUGCCCUGCGUUAUGGCCACGUCACCCACAAGCAAGUCUGUGGUCAGGUGACAGGAAGUGAGGGCCCGGUCUGCGGC